AACGAACGCUGGCGGCAUGCCUAACACAUGCAAGUCGAACGAGACCUUCGGGUCUAGUGGCGCACGGGUGCGUAACGCGUGGGAACCUGCCCUUAGGUUCGGAAUAACUCCCCGAAAGGGGUGCUAAUACCGGAUAAUGUCUUCGGACCAAAGAUUUAUCGCCUUUGGAUGGGCCCGCGUUGGAUUAGCUAGUUGGUAGGGUAAAAGCCUACCAAGGCGACGAUCCAUAGCUGGUCUGAGAGGAGGAUCAGCCACACUGGGACGUAGACACGGCCCAGACUACGACGGGAGGCAGCAUUAGGGAAGCUUCCAUAAUUGACGAAAGCCGGACGGAGCAACGCCGCGGGAUGGAUGAAGUGCUUCGUCUCGGAAAAAGCUGGUAUUAGGGAAGAACAAACGGGUAAGUAACUCUGCACGUCCGGACGGUGCCUAAUCAGAAAGACACGGCUAACCACGGU
rnacentral:rRNA from 1 species